rnacentral:rRNA from 1 species
AGAAUCAACGCUGGCGGCGUGCCUAACACAUGCAAGUCGAACGAGAAAGGGGAGCAAUCCCUGAGUAAAGUGGCGCACGGGUGAGUAACACGUGACUAACCUACCCUGGAGUGGGGGGAUAACUGAGGGAAAACCUUAGCUAAUACCGCAUAACACCUACGGGUCAAAGGAGCAAUUCGCUUUGGGAGGGGGUCGCGGCCGAUUAGUUAGUUGGCGGGGUAAUGGCCCACCAAGACAGUGAUCGGUAUCCGGCCUGAGAGGGCGCACGGACACACUGGAACUGAAACACGGUCCAGACUCCUACGGGAGGCAGCAGUGGGGAAUUUUGCGCAAUGGGGGAAACCCUGACGCAGCAACGCCGCGUGGAGGAUGAAGUACUUCGGUACGUAAACUCCUUUCGAUCGGGACGAUAAUGACGGUACCGGAAGAAGAAGCCCCGGCUAACUUCGCGCCAGCAGCCGC